GCACCAAACAUGUUCGAACGA
rnacentral:siRNA from 1 species